rnacentral:misc_RNA from 1 species
GAAAUGCGAUACGCAAUGCGAAUUGCAGAAUCCGCGAGUCAUCAGAUCUUUGAACGCAGCCCGCGCUGGAGGGAUAUCCUUCCAGCAUGUUUGUUUCAGUGUGUCCGGUUGACUUCAAUCAGCCAAAUGCGAUUGAGUUUUCUAAAAAAUUCUCUCUCGUUAAAGAUGAACGCAUGGGGGUUCAACCCUUCCAGCGAAGUGGUCACUGUUUUUCAGUGAUUUCGUUGGGUUACACAAGCGGUUGUUCCCACACUAUAUAAUAAUAGACGUGCGUUGUUAUUAAUCAUAACACUUCUUCGAUCAGCACCUGAAAUCAAGCAAGAUCACCCGCUGAACUUAA